UUUAAUUAUAAUAUAUUUCAAUUAUAAAUAAGAUACUAAAAUAAACAAAAUACUAUAUUCUCGGACGAAAUGGAAUCGGGGGUGCAGCAGAUCCCAUAGUCGGUGGACCCGACUCACCCUGCCGGUUCAAGCUACCUGGUAGCGGAGGGUAGAAUUCCAACAUGGUUCCUUGUGCCCUCGAGCUUUCAAUUUCUCAGUCUCCUCACCACUUUUUCACUACUUGCACUUCUCAACAAUUUUUUCCUUUAAUUCUCUCCUUUUCUUUUUCAAUAAUCUUUAAAGAAUCAAUCUCUGCGAUUCCUCUCAGACCAUCAAAAAGUUUCAAGUCAUCAGAAUUCACAAAUAUCAAUGAAAUAACAAUCUAUCCAAACCUUUAUAUCAACUUCCACGUCUAAACUUCCAAGUUUAAGCGUCUUUUUGGUUAUCAAGAUCCAAGUUCACAAUUUCAAUAAUAUAAUAAGUAUAACUUGUUUCAUAUAUCUAUAUUCCACGUCUGUCCAAGUCUAAAAGUCUCUUUAGUCACCAAGAUUUAAAUUCACAAUUUCAAUAAUACAAAUGUAAUUAUUUUGUAGAUCUAUACUUCGACUUCACGUCUGUCCAAGUGAAUAAGCUUCUCUUCGGUCACCAAGAUCCAAGUUAAUAAUUUCGAGGAAACAACAAGUAUAAUCUGUCUAUAGAUCUUCAAUUUCACUGUUUGUCAAAAACGAAGCUCAAGACACAAAUAGAAAUCCGAGUUCACAAAAUCGAGCGUCCUCGAGAUCGAGUCAUUCCUGAUCGUUCAACCCUCUCCCGUCCUUCGACGCGGUGACAGGUCUCAAGAAAGGAUCCCAUGGUCAACUCGAGCCAUCCUGACGGACUUCCAACCCCAGUGAAAUUUCGAUCCUCCGUUUGAUACCAUUCUGACGCGAACUUUGUCUCUUUUUGAUUAUUCUGUACCGCGAAGGGUUUUCGUUCUUGAGUUCGUACUGGUACAGUUCUGGACGAUACUGUGUCUAACCGUGACAGUUGAUACGUGUCAGCGGCCCGAACUCUCAGGCUUUUUUGAUGCCAGCCACUGCAUCGACAGUGAAAAUCAUUCCCCACCCACCUGCGCCGCGAACGACGAUCGACUAGAGGGUGAGAAUCGAGGGCGGGACGAUGAAGGCUCGCUAAGGGAGACUAAAGCUGCGAUGUGAUUGGUUUGAAUUGGAACCGCCCCUCGAUGGAAGGUUGUGGAGAGGGUGAGUUGGUAAUCGCGGUGCUCAACUGGUUGCGCGAUGUUUCCGGAGAUCAAUAUCUCGCGACAGUGACGUAUAAUGUUGGUGAAGGACUUUGGGAUUGUUACCUUGAAUUUGAAUUGUUGAGGAUUUGUUGGCCACGAAUGCUUAGAAUAAAUUGAUGAAUUAUGCAAUGGAGUGAUGAUGAUUUGUGAUUUCAUAGACUUGAUAUUUGCAUACAAGUAUGAUGAAAGAAUUAAAUAUGAAUUAUUUUGGAUAAAGUCAGAAUUAAAUGGGUGAGCGAAGAAUUUGAGA